UAUGUUUUGGUGUAUGAAGCACACAAAUUUUUGAUGUUUGUGGGACAGUUUGACUCUGUAAAACAUAA
rnacentral:tRNA from 1 species